rnacentral:tRNA from 1 species
GGCCCGUUGGUCAAGCGGCUAAGACAACGCCCUCUCACGGCGUAAACGGGGGUUCGAUUCCCCCACGGGUCA